rnacentral:rRNA from 1 species
AAUGAACGCUAGCGGCAGGCUUAACACAUGCAAGUCGAGGGGUAUAGUUCUUCGGAGCUAGAGACCGGCGCACGGGUGCGUAACGCGUAUGCAAUCUACCUUUUGCAGAGGGAUAGCCCAGAGAAAUUUGGAUUAAUACCUCAUAGUAUGUGAGAAUGGCAUCAUUUUCACAUUAAAGUCACAACGGCAAAAGAUGAGCAUGCGUCCCAUUAGCUAGUUGGUAUGGUAACGGCAUACCAAGGCUACGAUGGGUAGGGGUCCUGAGAGGGAGAUCCCCCACACUGGUACUGAGACACGGACCAGACUCCUACGGGAGGCAGCAGUGAGGAAUAUUGGACAAUGGGCGCAAGCCUGAUCCAGCCAUGCCGCGUGCAGGAUGACGGUCCUAUGGAUUGUAAACUGCUUUUGUACAGGAAGAAACACUACUUCGUGAAGUAGCUUGACGGUACUGUAAGAAUAAGGAUCGGCUAACUCCGUGCCAGCAGCCGCGGUAAUACGGAGGAUCCAAGCGUUAUCCGGAAUCAUUGGGUUUAAAGGGUCCGUAGGCGGUCUUAUAAGUCAGUGGUGAAAUCUCCCCGCUCAACGGGGAAACGGCCAUUGAUACUGUAGGACUUGAAUUAUUAGGAAGUAACUAGAAUAUGUAGUGUAGCGGUGAAAU